GCCUCUCCCGGUACCUGCUGCUGCUCCCGGGGCUGCGGGAAAUGCGAGAGGCUGAGCCGGGGAGGAGGAACCCGAGCAGCAGCAGCGGCGGCGGCGGCCGCGGCGGCGGGAGCCCCCCAGGAGGAGGACCGGGAUCCAUGUGUCUUUCCUGGUGACUAGGAUGUCGUCGGAGGAGGACAAGAGCGUGGAGCAGCCGCAGCCGCCGCCACCACCCCCCGAGGAGCCUGGAGCCCCGGCCCCGAGCCCCGCAGCCGCAGACAAAAGACCUCGGGGCCGGCCUCGCAAAGAUGGCGCUUCCCCUUUCCAGAGAGCCAGAAAGAA
rnacentral:lncRNA from 1 species